CACGUGGGCAAUCUGCCCUUCGAUGGGGAAUAACUCCGGGAAACCGAAGCUAAUUCCGCAUAACAUUCCUUGGACUCCGGUUCGAGGAUUCAAAGCCGUAAGGCGUCGAAGGAGGAGCCCGCGCCCGAUUAGCUAGUUGGUAGGGUAACGGCCUACCAAGGCUUUGAUCGGUAGCUGGUCUGAGAGGAUGGCCAGCCACACUGGAACUGAGACACGGUCCAGACUCCUACGGGAGGCAGCAGUGGGGAAUCUUGCGCAAUGGGCGAAAGCCUGACGCAGCGACGCCGCGUGGGGGAUGAAGCAUCUCGGUGUGUAAACCCCUUUCGACUGGGACGAAUGCCUCGCAAGAGGAGUGACGGUACCAGUAGAAGAAGCCCCGGCUAACUACGUGCCAGCAGCCGCGGUAAGACGUAGGGGGCCAGCGUUGUUCGGAAUUACUGGGUGUAAAGGGUCAGUAGGCGGUGUGGCAAGUUGGGAGUGAAAUCUAUGGGCUCAACCCAUAGGCUGCUUCCGAAACUGCCAUGCUAGAGUGUGGGAGAGGCGCGUGGAAUUGCAGGUGUAGCGGUGAAAUGCGUAGAUAUCUGCAGGAACACCCGUGGCGAAAGCGGCGCGCUGGACCACAAC
rnacentral:rRNA from 1 species